AAAACCGCCCGCCCGCACGACCUCCUCCUUCUCCCGCACGACCUCCUCAUCCUCCCACGCCGUUCGCCUCGUGCCGCCGCGUCCUUCACCGCCGCCUCGCACCGCCUUCACCGCCGCCGGAGCCACGGCAAUCGGCCACGGGCCGCCGGGAGCCCCCCCCCCCCCCCCCCCCCCCCCCCCCCUCCAGCCGCGGGAGCCCGCCCCGCCGCGCCUUCACCGCCGCCUCGCGCCGCCGCCGGAGCCACGGGAAGCGGCCGCGGGUCGUCGGGAGCCGCUGGCCGCCGGAGCCGCGCCCUUGGUCGUGGGCCGACGCUCCUCCCGCUCCUUUCGCCGCGCCCCAGUCCGCCCCCGUCGCCCCGGUCCUCUUCUGCUUCCCGGCGGCCAAGUGCGAUCAUAGAAGCAAGCAAGUAAGCUCAACUAUUCCUAAUUUGCAGACUACACUCUACCUACCGUUUUACGCUCAGAAUGUUGGCCCUCGUAGACUCUGUUUCACAUUUGCCAGUGUUUGCGUGUUUCAACCAAAGGGAUUGAGAAACUUCACCAGUAAGACGUAUAAAUGCCCCAACAGAGGUGAAUUUUCUGAGUAAUACGGUCCUUCUAUCGGAGAUGAAUUUUCUGAGUCAUGCUUCAUGAUGUCUAAUAUUUACUCUCUUUGUACCAACUAUCUUCAAGAAAGUCAUAUGGCCCAGAUAAAAAAUUUCUAUUCACCUAGAUUUAAAUUUGAUCAAAGUUAUUUCUCACCAGAGGCGUAAGGGUUUUCUACCUAACCUUCUCACCCUUCCUAAGUAUCCAGGUAUAAUUUUGUUCUGUGGUUGGCGAUGUGCUAUCCACGGUAUGAUAAUGGUUCUAGAAGCAUUUCUUGCUCCAGGAUCUGAAUUGUGGAUGUUUAAUGAGGUGGCAGAGAAGAAGAGGGAGAAAAACUGACUGAUGAUAGUAUGGAUAUUUUUGGACUAACAAACAUUAAAUUGUACACAAAGAAGGGAAUGUUGUCAUCAGGCGGCACUUAGAAAGCUUGCCUCUUGAGAUCUUUGAUUCUUUGAGUAUAUGCUCCAUCGUAGAGAUAAAUAGACUGCUUUGAACUUUUCUGUUCAAACAAUUAUUAUUUUUAUGAAUCGGCCAAUGUGGUCCAAAAUGGCAAGUCAGCAUUGCCCUGCAUUUCUUCUACUCAAGUUUACCUAUGCUGAAGCUACCAGUGCUAACUUUGGAACCACAAAUUUUGAUUCUUGCAGAUGAGUCGGUGGAGGACUCCAUUGUACAAUUAGAUUCAUGGUGCUUAGCUACACUUCUUCUAAUUCAUGACGUUCAUGCGAGCAACAAGCAGCCUGGCUGUGACAUACUAUAUAACUGACAGUGCGCAGGUAACCCAAACGUCUUCGUUAAAGGAGUCAAAAUCACAUCUACGUCACAAUGGCUUUUCUCACAGCUCCUGGAUUCGGGAGAUGUAGCAUGCACUGGAGAAAUCGAUAACAAUCAGUGAAAUAUUGGACUCGAGAACAAUAAACCUUGUGUCUAUCUCCAAAUUCAGCGAUUACGUUCUGUCAAAUGAACUUGUUAGUAUUUCAUUAGCCAUGGUGGCAGAAGGCAAGCAAAUCGACAGUGUUUCUUGAGGAACUCUUCGCUGAGGAGGAAAACAAGGUGUGCAUACGGUCUGCUGAGUUUUACCUGUACGGACAAGAGGAGUUGAGCUUCCUUGACAUAAUGGCCAGGGCUCAUGAGAGAGACGAGAUUGUGACCGGCACCGUUCGCCGCCGUCCGGGUAGCACGACCUUGCCGUCCCUCGCUCCUCGCCGCCGUCAGCAACACCACGGCUGGACCUGCUGCCCCUCGCUCCUCGCCGCCGUCCGCAGCAACACCACGACCCUGCCGCCAUGUGGUCCUCGCCGCCGUCUGCAAGCCCGCACGGUCCAGCCGCCUCUUGGUGCCGGUCUUGGAGUUUGUUAACUGCAUCGCACCGCCCUGCCGCUUUGAAGGUUUGUCGCGCGUAGAAAUUUGAGGGAGAUUCACUGCUUUGUUGCUUCAAAAUAUGUCAAAUUAGACCAUCAAUUCAAGUCAGACCAGUGAAUACAUUGGUUCCAUACUGCUGCCUUUAUACUAACUAGAUGACCCGUUGCGCCAAUGGCGCAAAGGCCGAAUGCAAGCCAAGUAUUGGAAGAGUAUGCACUAAAAUAUGUAAACACAAAAUGAAACAUGUGGAAAUAAGUACAGACUGAUGAUAGAUAGAUGGUUGCUCAUGAUA